GCUGAGCACUCAGGAUCUACCUGUCACACGUCAGCACCAGCUGAAGAAAAAGACAUCAGUGAAGCUGUGGAGAACUCUGGGGUGCAGGGCAUGGUGCUUGCUGGUGCUCUUGAAAAACAAUCCAAGUCAGAAGCUUUGCUGGAAGAGACCAAGUGCUGCUGCAGGGAGCUGAGGAAAAGGAAUCUGGGCUUGCAAGAGGAAUUGGAAGAGGUUAAAAGCAAGGUGCAGGACUUGGUAGACUGGCAUCUGCAGUUUGUGUGUUGUGUUGGUGGUCUGAGGGUUGCCUGGGAUGAGGAAGAAAGAGAGCUAAGAGCUUCUUUCCAGAAACU